rnacentral:rRNA from 1 species
AUUGAACGCUGGCGGCAGGCCUAACACAUGCAAGUCGAGCGGAUGAAGGGAGCUUGCUCCUGGAUUCAGCGGCGGACGGGUGAGUAAUGCCUAGGAAUCUGCCUGGUAGUGGGGGAUAACGUCCGGAAACGGGCGCUAAUACCGCAUACGUCCUGAGGGAGAAAGUGGGGGAUCUUCGGACCUCACGCUAUCAGAUGAGCCUAGGUCGGAUUAGCUAGUUGGUGGGGUAAAGGCCUACCAAGGCGACGAUCCGUAACUGGUCUGAGAGGAUGAUCAGUCACACUGGAACUGAGACACGGUCCAGACUCCUACGGGAGUCAGCAGUGGGGAAUAUUGGACAAUGGGCGAAAGCCUGAUCCAGCCAUGCCGCGUGUGUGAAGAAGGUCUUCGGAUUGUAAAGCACUUUAAGUUGGGAGGAAGGGCAGUAAGUUAAUACCUUGCUGUUUGGACGUUACCAACAGAAUAAGCACCGGCUAACUUCGU